GAUGAACGCUGGCGGCGUGCCUAAUACAUGCAAGUCGAGCGAACGGACGAGAAUCUUGCUUCUCUUAUGUUAGCGGCGGACGGGUGAGUAACACGUGGAUAACCUACCUAUAAGACUGGGAUAACUUCGGGAAACCGGAUCUAAUACCGGAUAAUAUUUUGAACCGCAUGGUUCAAAAGUGAAAGACGGUCUUGCUGUCACUAAUAGAUGGAUCCUCGCUGCAUUAGCUAGUUGGUAAGGUAACGGCCUACCAAGGCAACGAUGCAUAGCCGACCUGAGAGGGUGAUCGGCCACACUGGAACUGAGACACGGUCCAGACUCCUACGGGAGGCAGCAGUAGGGAAUCUUCCGCAAUGGGCGAAAGCCUGACGGAGCAACGCCGCGUGAGUGAUGAAGGUCUUCGGAUCGUAAAACUCUGUUAUUAGGGAAGAACAUAUGUGUAAGUAAAUCUGCACAUCUUGACGGUACCAAAUCAGAAAGCCACGGCUAACUACGUG
rnacentral:rRNA from 1 species